ACAGACAAAUAUCAAUAUACUUCCUCCAUUCCUAGAUGUAAGUCUUUUAAAAAAUUUCAUUAAGAGACUACAUAUGAAACAAAAUGAGUGAAUCUAUACUCUAAAGUAUGUCUAUAUACAUUCUAAAGUAUGUCUAUAUACAUUUAUAUGUAGUCCUGUAAUGAACCCUCUAAAAAGACUUAUAUUCAGGAACGGAGGGAGUACAUGGGAAUCAUUUCUUUUUCUGAAACCUACAUAAGAUGAUACGAGCCAGUUAAGAUCUUAACCACAUCUCCAAAAGCUCGUCUAAAGGGUCGUCUAUGGCGUUUAGACGACGAAGGAGCAAAAACGGCUUUUCAACUACUCAUGUAUAUGGCCAUGUAAAUUUAUACAUCGUCUAAAUCGCGCUCGAGGACGUUCAGCCCUGGACAAUGUGAACCCGUCGUUCAUAGCCAACAGAACGCGAGGUUCCUCCUUCGCGCCGAGAGGAGGAAGAGGCGCGCGACGCCGUCAUGCCAUGCCACCGCCGAGAUGGAAGAUAAUGGGCGUUUUCUUGAGAUGUUAAACUUUGAUGUAUCAUCGCAAGUGCCAUAUAGUCCAGUUGGGGAGCAAGAAAUGCCAUCAACUCAAAAAACAUGUGCAUCUGUGAGAGCAAAAUCCACUAAAGGAUCGAAUUGGUCUACUAAAGAGGAUGAACUAUUGGUGAAAGCAUGGUUGCACACUAGUUUGGAUGCUGUGAUAGGGACAGAUCAAUCUGUAAAUUCUUAUUGGGAUAGGAUUUAUGAUUACUACAACAUGCGCAAGAAAGUGUCAUGGUCGGAUCGUGUUCAAAAUGCACUCAAUUGUUGUUGGAGCACUAUUAAUGAGCAAGUCAGCUAGUUAUGUGGA